ACCAUCAUCAAUCCACCAUACCCGGCUCAUCUCUCUCGCCCUCAUCCCUCAAACAGACCCACAUAUCCCUCAUCUUGGGGUAGCUCCAAACCAGACCGCCACUCACCAUCAGAGGCUGGAAUUAAUCGAGACGAAGGUGGUCUGAUUGCAAACCUGGCGAUUCAGGUGCUGGUGGUUAUGGAGGUGGAGUAAAUGGAAAGGAAGGAGGACGCCAUCAACUUGGAGGGUUUUGAUGCUGGUUUGGCAUC
rnacentral:misc_RNA from 1 species